CAAAUAGGUAAUAAAUUGGAAAUUAUAUAGCAAACCUUCAUGAUUUACAGGAUAAGGAAGGACUAAGGGCUGCAAACAGAAUUGGCCGUUCUCAUAUUGAUUAUCAUAAGCAGAAAAUGAAAGUUAAACUUGCCCUUCAAGUUUUUAGUAGCUCAGUAGCAAAAGGUAUUCUUUUAGCACAUGAGCUAAAAAUUGAUGGGUUUGAAAACUGUGAAGGCACAGUAGACUUUAUUCAAAUGUUUGAUCGUACUCGAAACAUGUGCUAAAGAGUUUAAGGCCCCACUAUCUAAAAGAUCUCUUCCAUAUUAUGAAGAUUAUUUUGAAAAAUGUAUCAAUACUAUUAAAGCUUUAAAGUUUGAAGAUGGGAUAUAUUAAUCAAAUAGAAAAACAUUCCUUAUAGGGUUAAUAGCAUUAAUGAAAAGUAUUCUGGGUAUUGGGAAUGAAUUAUUAUUGGGACCUAAUCCCAAACUCAAUUACAUUUUAACCUACAAAACCUCACAAGAUCAUCUUGAACUAUUUUUAGUUGUUUACGCAGCAGAAGAGGUUUUAACAAUAAUCCUUCUGCUUAUCAAUUACGAUCGGCCAUAAGAGAUGUCUUGGUAGCAAAACUGGAAGUGUUAACAAUAGGUAAUUGUAUUCCAAUCAAUAAUAUUAAUCUAAUUUGUGGAGAUUUUCAGAAAAAUGCUGACAAUAACAACCAUAUUAAUCUUUAUGAAAAUUCGUUAACAUUUGUUCCUAAUAUUCCGACAUUAUCACUCUACCUUGAAAAUGUAUCAACCUAUUGGAAAAAAAGUAACAUGUUAUACAUGCAUAACAGCUAUGAUGGAUUAUCAAAAUCAUAAAAAUAGUGAUGCUUAUAAUUUGAUAAAAAUAAAAAACAAUCAGGGGUUAAUAAUUCCUUCUAAGAGUGUUUCAAUAUUAUGCCAAAUUUCUGAAAGUGCAUUCCAUGUUUUUGAAAAAUC